rnacentral:rRNA from 1 species
AUUGAACGCUGGCGGCAGGCCUAACACAUGCAAGUCGAGCGAGCGGCGGACGGGUGAGUAAUGUCUGGGAAACUGCCUGAUGGAGGGGGAUAACUACUGGAAACGGUAGCUAAUACCGCAUACUAUCAGAUGUGCCCAGAUGGGAUUAGCUAGUAGGUGGGGUAACGGCUCACCUAGGCGACAAUCCCUAGCUGGUCUGAGAUGAGGGCCAGCUGCACUGGAACUGAGCCACGGUCCCGACUCCGACGUGAGGCAGCAGUGGGGAAUAUUGCACAAUGGGCGAAAGCCUGAUGCAGCCAUGCCGCGUGUGUGAAGGAGGCCUUCGGGUUGUAAAGCACUUUCAGCGGGGAGGCGUUACCCGCAGAAGAAGCACCGGCUAACUCCGUGCCAGCAGCCGCGGUAAUUC